rnacentral:lncRNA from 1 species
AAGUAUAGUAUUAUUAUUAGAUCUAAAUAGAGCUAAUAAUAAAUAGAUCUUUUCCCCAAACAAUAUCUCACUAUAAAUUGGGUUGGCCUGGAGUUUUCUACAUAACCCAAGCUAAACUUAAAUGUAUAAUAUUACUGCCAGCUUCCAGAAUACUAGAACAAUGAAUCUUUUCCUUUAACAGAUACCAUUUUCUAAAGACUCUUAUAGAACAUAUUUCUAUAGACUCUUCUUAGUAAUUAUAAUAAAUACAUGUCCUGAAGUACAUACAGCCCAUGGUAAAGAAACUAAAGUAGUCAACUUCAUGCAUGGAAAAGAAAUUUCUGUCUUUUAAAAAUCAAAGCUACAUACAAAGAACUCCUAGGCAAAGUAUUUCCCAACUGCAUCUGUGGAUACAUGUCAAGUUGAAAACAACUCAGCAGCAGUAAGAAGUAACAGGUGUCCUUGACUAAUGCUGAGUGACCGGCAAAGGGCAGGUCUGCAACAUGAACCUUUCAGAACAUGCACAGCAGUAGAUUUUCUAAAGCAAACAAAAUGGUAAGAGAGAUAACAUGGUUUAGUAGGCUAUCUUAAAAUAGGCAUAUCUAAGAUGUGAUAUUCCCUUAGCUCUUCACUAACUCCCUGAAAAUAACCAGAGCAAAGGAUUCUGUAUCCUCAUUAACAUGAUGAAUCUAACUAAUACUAAGUAAUAUGCAUCAUAUACACUGUUCAACUUAGACUAAAUAGUGGGCUGGGUGCGGUGUCGCACGCCUUUUAUCUUAGUGCUUAGGAAGCAGAGGCUGUAGUAUAUCUGUGAGUUCAAGGUCAGCCUCUUAAGUUCCAGACAAUUCAAAAUACGAACAAUGGCAACAAUAAAAGACUAAAUAGUGCAGAAAAUUUAAAAAUUAAAACAAAUAUCACCUGCCUUCAUGGAGCAAAGCAGCUAUAAACCUGGAUAAUCAAAAGCUAGAAUUUAUAUCAUUCAAAAAAUGGUAGGGAGUUGAGCUUAGAAACUUUGAGAACAAGUCCAGCGAUUUGGAGGCACCGUUUUGCCAUGUGUUGGAUUAAAAUUUUCAUAAAAUAAUGAAAUAUAUAUUCUUAGCUACAACUGAUUCAAGCAAAAAUUAAGCUAAACUAUAGUAUCUCAUUAGACUCAUUAAAGCUAUUAUUAAGGAAAUGAAAUAAUUUGAUGAAAUACCUAUAGGCUGACUUUACAAUGAACAUUAAUCAGAUCUGUGGUAAAUCACUAUCUCGUACAAAAUCUCCAUAUAUACAAAACCUUUGAUGGACAUUUAAAUAUAAGAAUAUUUCUGGACAGGAUGAAAUAUGAUCUGGGGAGGCAGGGAGAGAUGUUCUGGUAGGAUUCUUUGAUAUUCUAGAACAUCAAAUGUGACAUGUAUUUCCUUGUCAUCCCCAUUCUGCUUUCCCAAAGACCAUGUUCCUACAUUAACUAUUUCCUUUAAUGACACUCAAUAAGAUCACCAUGACUGUACUAGUGGCUAGCAUUCAACCCACAACUAAGCUGUCUCUUGGCUAUCAAUAGUAUGUAAGAUACAGCUACAACUGUAAGGUAGCUAGAAUCAUUUCGGGGUUACUGUGAAGGCUUGGGGUAUAAACCAGAAUCACGUAUGCCUACAAAAUAUGGAACGAUUAUUAAUCCUUCUUUCAACUGGAAUUUACUCUGUCAUCACAGGAAUACACAAAGAAGCUGCUGCUAAUCAUGAUGAAACCAGUACAAUAUUAUCUCUACAGAACCUGGUACUCCUAAGAGAAACACUUAUAAUCCACAGAACUCACAUCCCAGCUACCUGCUGCUUCUAGAACUUGGGUUUCCAUAUACGUUUGUCUCACUGAUAAAGACUAUCAGCAGGAACUGCAAGUAUCUAGACUUGGGCAGUUGAGGCAGAAGGCUACUGAAACCAACCUAGGCUGUGUAGGCUAUCACACACAUAAAAAGAUCCAAUUAUGUGAAUUUUGCUUUUGUUUUCUUCAAGAGGUGAAACAAUCUGGCAAAUAUACUGAGAGAAACUUCGUUACCUUAAAAAUUAUGGCAGAGGCACAGGAUACAGGGCAGGUUUUCUCUGUCCCCUCUUUUUGUUUUUGAAACAAGUUCUUACUUUACAGCUCUGACUGGCCUGGGACUUGAUAUGUCAUGUAGACCAGGUUUGCCUCAAACUUACAGAGGUCCACUUGCCUCUGCCUCCUAGAGCUGGGUUAAAGGUGUGUGCCACCACACCCUGCCCC